GACGAACGCUGGCGGCGUGCUUAACACAUGCAAGUCGAACGGCAAGGCACUGCUUUUGUGGUGUGCCCGAGUGGCGAACGGGUGAGUAACACGUGAGUAACCUGCCCUUGACUUUGGGAUAACUUCAGGAAACUGGGGCUAAUCUCGGAUAGCAGCUCCUGCUGCAUGGUGGGGGUUGGAACGUUUCGGCGGUUGGGGCUGGACUGGCGGGUUAUCAGCUUGUUGGUGGGGUAGUGGCUUACCAAGGCUUUGAACGGUAGCCGGCCUGAGAGGGUGGACGGCCACAUUGGGACUGCGAUACGGCCCAGACUCGUACGGGAGGCAGCGGUGGGGAAUAUUGCACAGUGGGCGGGAGUGUGAUGCAGCAGCGCCGCGUGCGGGAUGACGGCCUUCGGGGUGUAAACCGCUGUCGCCUGUGACGAAGCGUGAGUGACGGUAAUGGGUAAAGAAGCACCGGCUAACUACGUG
rnacentral:rRNA from 1 species